UACGAAGGGGGCUAGCGUUGUUCGGAAUUACGGGGCGUAAAGCGCACGUAGGCGGAUUUGUUAGUCAGGGGUGAAAUCCCGGAGCUCAACCUCGGAACUGCCUUUGAUACUGCAAGGCUAGAGUGCGGGAGAGGUGAGUGGAAUUCCUAGUGUAGAGGUGAAAUUCGUAGAUAUUAGGAAGAACACCAGUGGCGAAGGCGGCCAACUGGCCCGUUACUGACGCUGAGGUGCGAAAGCGUGGGAAGCAAACAGG
rnacentral:rRNA from 1 species